rnacentral:snRNA from 1 species
UGAGAAUAGAAGGACAUGUCCUUCUAUUACAGGUUUUACGGUAUAUGAUUUUUGGAACCUAGGGAAGACUCGGGGCUUGCUCCGACUUCCCAAGGGUCGUCCCGGCGUUGCACUGUUGCCAGGCUCGGCCCAGUCUCC